rnacentral:lncRNA from 1 species
GUUUUAAUUGUAGUGAUCUUACGCACUUCCGCGUUUGGUGACGAACCUAUAGCUUUCUAGUGGACGUGACUGGCUCCGUAUUAGUUUUUGUUUCUUCUUCGAAAAAUAAAACUAUUGGAGAGAUGUACGCUGCGAGACAAGACAAAAUCCUGUUCGUCACAAACGGGUUUUACAGGUACAACGAAAACAGGUUUGGCGUCAGAAGGAGCGCAAUUUUUGGCCAUUACAGCGUCGGCCAGAAAUUGAAGGCUUUUUUGGUCUCGCCAGAAUGCACUACAUCGGAAAUAAACGCUUUAUAUUCUGCAGUUACGGAUAAUCGGAAGACGAAUAUGCGAAAAUCGGAAAGAUUACCAAAUACGGCAUUUUCCUCUCGGGGUCCUCGAGACUAUUACUAAAAAGAAAGUGUGGUGAGAAACCCAACCUCCCAAAGAGAAUCGAGUUUUCUUUCAGUAAACAUGGGCUACAUUCUUUUUUUUUCCUUUCUUUUUUUCUUAACCUAGAAGAUAAGCUAUCUCUUCGAUUUCUGAUAUUGACGUGUUGGUGCUUAGAAAAAUCGAAAUUUAGGACAAAAACAUACAGAACCGACAUUCAGACGAAACAAUGCACACCACUUGGCAACGCAUGCACGAAGGAGGGACGAAGUGGGAUAUACGUUUUAAACCGGUCUGGUCUGUCUCCCAUCCUGCCUUCCAUCCCUGGCAACCGAUAAUGUGUGCGAUCGCAGAUCCAAUUCAUGGUUGUUUACAGAAAGACGGAGGAAGGAGUCGCCAUAACUCAGCCGAAGUCGGCUUCCAUCUAUCUCCAUUACUGGCCUUCGAUCGAUUCGUACUGCCAUGUGCACCUUGGCAGGGAGGGCAGCGGGGAAGAAGAAGAAGAAAAAAGAUUCAGAAUGGAAAUGUCGAAAAGAAACGGCGCGUUAUAAAGAGACAUUGCGCUUUUGCUCGCUUGAUUUAAGAGACGAAUUUGCUUUACCCUCUUCGAAUAAACGAUCCCAAAUUGUAAGAAACAAUUUAAAAAAUUGUUCCUUAAACCUUAAUUUCGCGGGUCGAUGGUUUUUAAUCAUUGCUAAUGUCCACGAUUCUUUUACACAUUUUCUGCUUACGAAAAAAAUUAUCGAACGUAUUUAAAAAUUCAAUAAUUGUAAUAGGGAGCUGUGUUUACUAUAACGUGGAAUGUCUCCUAUUAUUAUUAUUAUUAUUAAGUAGAUUCAAAUCA